rnacentral:rRNA from 1 species
UACGGGGGGAGCAAGCGUUGUCCGGAUUUACUGGGCGUAAAGAGCGCGCAGGCGGUCGUCCAAGUCGCGUGUGAAAGCCCCCGGCUCAACUGGGGAGGGUCACGCGAUACUGAUCGACUCGAAGGCAGGAGAGGGUAGUGGAAUUCCCGGUGUAGUGGUGAAAUGCGUAGAUAUCGGGAGGAACACCAGUGGCGAAGGCGACUACCUGGCCUGUUCUUGACGCUGAGGCGCGAAAGCUAGGGGAGCAAACGGG